CCUACGGGGGGCUGCAGUAGGGAAUUUUCCACAAUGGACGAAAGUCUGAUGGAGCAACGCCGCGUGCAGGAUGAAGGCCUUCGGGUUGUAAACUGCUUUUAUCUGUGACGAAUAUGACGGUAGCAGAUGAAUAAGGAUCGGCUAACUCCGUGCCAGCAGCCGCGGUCAUACGGAGGAUCCAAGCGUUAUCCGGAAUUACUGGGCGUAAAGAGUUGCGUAGGUGGCAGAGUAUGUCUGUAGUGAAAGCGUGUGGCUCAACCAUAUACACAUUACAGAAACUGCUCAGCUAGAGGGCGAGAGAGGUUACUAGAAUUCCUAGUGUAGGAGUGAAAUCCGUAGAUAUUAGGAGGAAUACCGAUGGCGUAGGCAGGUAACUGGCUCGUCCCUGACACUAAGGCACGAAAGCGUGGGUAGCAAACGGGAUUAGAUACCCGUGUAGUC
rnacentral:rRNA from 1 species